rnacentral:rRNA from 1 species
UACGUAGGGGGCGAGCGUUGUCCGAAGUUACUGGGCGUAAAGCGCGCGUAGGCGGUUUCUUAAGUCUGGGGUGAAAGGUUCAGCGCUCAACGCGAACAGUGCCUUGGAUACUGGGAGACUUGAGUCUGGGAGGGGGCAGUGGAAUUCCUGGUGUAGCGGUGAAAUGCGUAGAUAUCGAGAGGAACAUCGGUGGCGAAGGCGGCCUUCUGGACAGUGACUGACGCUGAGACGCGAAAGCGUGGGGAGCAAACAGG